CCAAUAGCGUAUAUUAAAGUUGUUGCAGUUAAAAAGCUCGUAGUUGAAUUUCGGGAUCGACGGGUCGGUCGCGCCUCUGGUGUGUACUGGCCCUGUCGGUUUCUCCCUUCUGACGAACUGCGAUGUCAUUAAUUUGGUGUCGUAGGGAAUCAGGACUGUUACUUUGAAGAAAUUAGAGUGUUUAAAGCAGGCAUUCGCUUGAAUACAUUAGCAUGGAAUAAUGAAAUAGGACGUUUGAUCUUAUUUUGUUGGUUUCUAAGAUCGACGUAAUGAUUAAUAGGGAUAGUUGGGGGCAUUAGUAUUCAAUUGUCAGAGGUGAAAUUCUUGGAUUUAUUGAAGACUAACUACUGCGAAAGCAUUUGCCAAGGAUGUUUUCAUUAAUCAAGAACGAAAGUUAGGGGAUCGAAGACGAUCAGAUACCGUCGUAGUCUUAACCAUAAACUAUGCCGACUAGGGAUCGGAUGAUGUUAAUUUUUUAAUGACUCAUUCGGCGCCUUACG
rnacentral:rRNA from 1 species